rfam:Bacillus smithii strain DSM 4216, complete genome.
UCGGAAUUUGGAGUGAUGAAGAGUCAUUUGUAUCUGGGCACUUGAAUGACUUGGAGCGAGUAGUGCAACCUCCCAUUUUCUGU